UCGAACGAAAAGACGGAAAGAGCUUGCUCUUUUCAGAAUUGAGUGGCACACUGGUGAGUAACACGUAAACAACCUGCCUUCAGGAUGGGGACAACAGACGGAAACGACUGCUAAUACCGAAUAAGUUCCAAGGGCCGCAUGGCCCAUGGAAGAAAAGGUGGCCUCUACCUGUAAGCUAUCGCCUGAAGAGGGGUUUGCGUCUGAUUAGCUGGUUGGAGGGGUAACGGCCCACCAAGGCGACGAUCAGUAGCCGGUCUGAGAGGAUGAACGGCCACACUGGAACUGAGACACGGUCCAGACUCCUACGGGAGGCAGCAGUGGGGAAUCUUCCGCAAUGGGCGAAAGCCUGACGGAGCAACGCCGCGUGAGUGAUGACGGCCUUCGGGUUGUAAAACUCUGUGAUCCGGGACGAAAAGGCAGAGUGCGAAGAACAAACUGCAUUGACGGUACCGGAAAAGCAAGCCACGGCUAACUACGUGCCAGCAGCCGCGGUAAUACGUAGGUGGCAAGCGUUGUCCGGAAUUAUUGGGCGUAAAGCGCGCGCAGGCGGCUUCCCAAGUCCCUCUUAAAAGUGCGGGGCUUAACCCCGUGAUGGGAAGGAAACUGGGAAGCUGGAGUAUCGGAGAGGAAAGUGGAAUUCCUAGUGUAGCGGUGAAAUGCGUAGAGAUUAGGAAGAACACCGGUGGCGAAGGCGACUUUCUGGACGAAAACUGACGCUGAGGCG
rnacentral:rRNA from 1 species